rnacentral:rRNA from 1 species
UACGUAGGGUGCAAGCGUUAAUCGGAAUUACUGGGCGUAAAGCGCACGUAGGCGGAUAUUUAAGUCAGGGGUGAAAUCCCGGGGCUCAACCCCGGAACUGCCUUUGAUACUGGGUAUCUGGAGGUCGAGAGAGGCGAGUGGAAUUCCGAGUGUAGAGGUGAAAUUCGUAGAUAUUCGGAGGAACACCAGUGGCGAAGGCGGCUCGCUGGCUCGAUACUGACGCUGAGGUGCGAAAGCGUGGGGAGCAAACAGG